GGUCGAUUAGCUCAGUUGGUUUAGAGCGUUGCAUUGACAUUGCAGAGGUCACUGGUUCGAGCCCAGUAUCGACCACCA
rnacentral:tRNA from 1 species